rnacentral:rRNA from 1 species
UACAGAGGGUGCAAGCGUUAAUCGGAUUUACUGGGCGUAAAGGGCGCGUAGGCGGAUACUUAAGUCGGAUGUGAAAUCCCUGGGCUUAACCUAGGAACUGCAUUCGAUACUGGGUGUCUAGAGUAUGGGAGAGGAAAGCGGAAUUCCCGGUGUAGCAGUGAAAUGCGUAGAUAUCGGGAAGAACAUCAGGGCGAAGGCGGCUUUCUGGCCCAAUACUGACGCUGAGGCGCGAAAGCGUGGGGAGCAAACAGG